rfam:Glycine soja cultivar W05 scaffold4038_22, whole genome shotgun sequence.
UUCUUAUUGGAUGACUGUCAUGUUGUGAUUAGAUGUCAACUCCUUAAAAAAUAAAAUGCUUUGUUUUCAUUGAUCAAUCAGAACAUCACACACGUGACCGUCAUCAUCC